AUCCAUCUGAUAAGUCCUAAAUAGGACGAAAUGCGGGUUCUGGAU
rnacentral:hammerhead_ribozyme from 1 species